rnacentral:lncRNA from 1 species
CUCUCUCUCCCUCUCACUCAUCAAAUUCUCUCUUUCUCUCUCUAAAAAUGAAGAUGGGUUUUGCAGGGUUCCAAGUUUUGAUGGUUUUGAGUCUUUUGGCCACAUCAUGCAUAGCCCAGGCCCCAGGAGCUGCACCCACAGCCUCACCCCCAACCGCCACGCCGCCAACCGCCACCCCGCCAACCGCCACGCCGCCAACCGCCACCCCACCAACCGCUACACCGCCAUCAGCCGUACCAGUUCCAUCACCCAGCAAAACACCAACCGUGUCACCAACUCCAUCACCAGUGACAGCACCAACCCCAAGUGCCUCCCCACCGGCUUCCACACCAUCUGCUGAGUCUCCGUCGUCCCCACCUGCUCCCUCUGGCCCAAGCCCGAACUCCCCACCGGCUGAGGCUCUUCCUCCAAGUGGCACCUCCACCAUCAGCCGCGCUGUUAUUGCUGGAACUGCUCUUGCUGGAGUCUUCUUCGCCGUUGUGUUGGCUUAGAUUCAUGGGGUUUACCCUUUCGGGUUUCGCUAUUCGUCCACAUGGAGACUCCUCAUCGGCUCUCAGAUCUGGCUUUUGAUGGACGGUCGAGAUCUAUUAUUUUCUUUUUCUUCUAUUGUUUAUUUUUGUUAAUGUUUAUUUUUAUAGAUUUGUUUAACUUUGUGUGUUUUCAAUCCAUGUGGUGAUUAUUGGGUUUGGCAGUUUCUAGGUGGAUUUGGACGGUCGUGAUGUGAUUAAUUACGGUGAUUCAUUGUUUUACAGUCGACACGUGCACCCAUUUGUAGAUGAGUCGUUGGAUGUACAUCUAUCUGAUCAUCAUAGUUGAAUAAAACAGUUUGUCAUUCUUUUCCUUAGGGAUCUUUGAACUUGUCAUACUUUUAACUCUCUCUAAGAUACGUGUGUGAUUACAAGAGCUCGUGAAUUUAAGUGCAUCAAGAUAAUAACAAAGUUUACUCAUUCAUUUCACGUUUAAUUUUAUGUAAUUUAUUAUCGUAAAUUUUCGAAUACCUUUGUUAAAUUUAUCACAUUUCCAAAAUAGGGGAUUGCAGAAAAAAUGGAGCCUUUAUUCUCUAGGGUUGGGUGGAUUUGCCUUUUCACAAAGUCUAAAGCAUUUGUUGUAUAUUUCCAUGCCAAAAAGAUGGAAUCCAACUCCUGAGGUUUGGUAUAUAUGCUUCCAAUCCUUGACGUUGACUCGUGGUUUCAAAAGUCUUCAUCAUAGGUGAAGGUGCACCAUUAAUCUUUCUUUUGCGUUAUUCCACGAAACUUGAUACACGUGUUAAUCCAUUUGGAUGAAAAGUAAAAUGGACCAUGUAAUCUUUUCCAAAGAGAUUUGAACUUUAAAUAUUAUGUAACAUUUUCUAAUUUAAAAUGACUAAAUUUGAACUCCAUGCAUUUUUUUUCUUUUCUUUUUCGUGUGAAAAAUUAUAAAUAACAAAUUUAAAUGAUUAUAUUGUGUUUAUAAUCGAAGAGAUCUGAUUUUCACAUAUCAUUUUUUCGCCUCUCAAAUGCCUAUCCCUCUUUUUGACAAUUUUAAUUAAAUAAAUCAUACAAAACCGACAACAAUAGAAAUUUUUUUGGGUAUAUUUACUAUUUACCUAAUUGGGUCUUUAUUAUCAUUAAGUAUUACGAUCUAGUGAUAUUCCUCUUCACUUGUAAGUAAAAGAUCUCAAGUUUGAUUCUCGCCAAAAGGAGAAUUUAAAGCGCAUUAUUAUGGAUGACCUAUUAUGAGGCUUAGCCCACUCACCUACCUCUUAGUGUAAAUAAUGUUUGUUAAAAAAAAGUGAAUCUCAACUGCAUAUAAUAACUAAAACCUUGGAUUUGGGCUAACACAUUUUAGAUUCUCCCUCACUCGUAAGUAGGCUGAGGUUGAUUAAUGUUUAAUUAUGGCCAUGAAAAUGCUGAUAAAGCUUUUGUUACUUUGGGCCUUCCCUCUUAUACCAAAGAAAAUGCAGUGAUAUAAGGCAAAGUAUAUGCCACGUCUACAUUACAAACCAAAACGACUAGGCACUAAUGAGGCUCACUGCAAUUGCUUAUAUAUAAAGCGUAUAUUAACUCAGUAAUUUAUCGAUGGGAGACUCAAUAUAAACGUAUAUUAACUCAAUAAUUUAUCGAUGUGAGACUCAAUACACAUGUAAAGCCUUAUAUGAUAAUGUUUCAGCCAUAUCCCUUGCUUCAACUCCACUAUUUCAAGUACGCACAAAGAACAUGGAUACACACUAUCACUACAUUAGAGCUUGUUUUAGCCAAUCUUCAAUAGAGAGUAUUAAUCUCACAUCGGAGAUAUGAGCGACAUUACUUAUACUUAUAAGUAGUUAGACUACUUCUCCUAUUAUCAUUUGCUUUUAUGAUGAAACCUCAUCUUUUCCCAUGGUAUCAAGGAAAGUUGUGUCACGUGUGAAGCUCAACGGCCACAUGCUCCACAUUAUUCCGUUUGUGUUGUCCACAUGCUAGGAUUGAAAAAUUUGUCACAUAUGAGUGGGCGUGCUGAGAAUGAAUCCCACAUUGAUAAAAAGAAUGACCUUACAUGUACUUAUAAGUAGGGGUGGGUUCAAAAAACAAAAAAAAACGCAAAAAAAAAAAAAAAAAAAACCAAACCGAACACCUAAUCAGGAAAAAGCCAAACUAAAUUAAACAAACCGAACCAAACCAAAAUGAGUUAAUUCGGUUUCGGUUUCAGAAGUUCAAAAACCAAACCGAAUCUAGAAUCCACUUAAAAUGAUGUCAUUUCAUUUGUCAACACUAAUACUAUCGAUGAGCAAAUUGUAGCAAUAAUCCUUUAACUUUAACUCAAUUAGAGCAAUGAUCACUCAAUUCAUCAAAACGUGCAUCUAUAGUCCCUCAACGAAAAUUCCAUUACUAUUGGUCCCUCAACUUUAAUCCGACUGGAGAAAUGAUCUUUCAAUUUUAACCCAAUUGGAGCAAUGGUCCCUCAACUUUAACCCAAUUGUAGCAAUGAUCCUUCCAACAUAACUCAUUUUGACAAAAUUUUAACAAAGUUGACGAAAAUGACCAUAGUUAUAUGUUUUGAUGAGUUGAAAGACGCCAAUUGUAGCAAUGGUCAUUCCAACAUAACUUAUUUUGACAAAAUUCUAAUAAAGUUGACGAAAAGGACUAUAACUACAUAUUUUGAUGAGUGACCAAUGACAAUGAAUUUUUAAUUGAAGGACUAUUAUUCCAAUUUAAUUAAAAUUAAAAAAACAUUGCUACAAUUUACUCUACUAUCCAGUUAGUCUGCUCUCUGCUGCAGUGCUGCUCUCUCAGUCUGUCUGCUAGUAGGACAAAUAACAGCUAGCUAAUUGGAAUGCACUGGUAUGCUUGAAGCAUCAAGAACCUUGAGUGAUUAAUUAUUGCGAGCAUCGAAAUUGGGUAAUGGUUUUGCAUGACUAAUAGAAAACUUGUUUCGUAUUGCUUACGAGUGAUUUGUCAAGUUUCCCUUUUCCUUUUUUUCUUUGUUUUUUUUUUUGUAUUAUGUAGUUGGAUGGACAGCUUAGGUUUAUCUUUUUUUUUUUUUUUUUUAAAAAGAAGACAAUUAGCAGAAGUUCGCUUAUCCACAUCUUUCGGGCUCAGACAGCCUAGGUUUUUACCCCUCUCUUCUUUUCCUGAUUUCACAAAAAAAUAUUAUGAAUAACGAACAUAAAUUAAUUAUAAUACAUAUCAGUAAGUAACAAAAUUUUAUUUCAUUGACCUUUGAAUUCAUUUUUUUCCAAGAGUUGUAGAAGAUAGUCCAUUUUUUCUUCCUCCAUGUUAUUUUGGCAGAUUUUUCUUGCACCCCGAGAUUUGAGUUAGUGUUCUCCUGCGGAGGGGGCUUGCGCUUUCGGGGUGCCGUUCCACUCUCUCAGGAGUAGGAUUUGGUUCCUCAGACUGGUUCCUCAGUUUCAGAUGGUGCAUUUGUAGCCUUAGGCUUUAAUUUCAAUACCAGACUCAUGUAUUAGUAAAAUAAACCAUAAUCAAGCAAUUAAACUAGUACUUGCAGAUACAAUAUCAACACUCAUAACAAAUUAAAACAAGAACUUCCAUUAAAAUGUCACUAAUGGUUCAAGUCUUGUAAAAACUUGGGAAGAG